rnacentral:rRNA from 1 species
GACGAACGCUGGCGGCGUGCUUAAUACAUGCCAGUCGAACGGAAAGGCCCUGCUCUCAGGGUGCUCGAGUGGCGAACGGGCGAGUAACUCGUGGGUGAUCUGCCUCUUACUUUGGGAUAAGCCUGGGAAACUGGGUCUAAUACUUGCUAGGACCAUGCUGUAGGUGGUGUGGUGAAAAGAUUAGUUUCGGUAUGAGAUGAGCUCGCGGCCUAUCAGCUUGUUGGUGGGGUAAUGGUCUACCAAGGCGUCGCCGGGUAGCCGGCCUGAGAGGGUGGACGGCCAGAUUGAGACUGAGAUGCGGGCCAGAAUCCUACGGGAGGCAGCAGUGGGGAAUAUUGCACAGUGGGAGCAAGCCUGAUGCAACGAAGGCGCGUGGGGGAUAAAGGCCUUCGGGUUGGAAACUCCUUACGGGCAUGACGAAGCGCUUGUGGUGACGGUAGUGAUAGAAAAAGCACCGGCUAACUACGUG